rnacentral:rRNA from 2 species
UAAUUGAAGAGUUUGAUCAUGGCUCAGAUUGAACGCUGGCGGCAGGCUUAACACAUGCAAGUCGAGCGGUAGCACAGGGGAGCUUGCUCCCUGGGUGACGAGCGGCGGACGGGUGAGUAAUGUCUGGGAAACUGCCUGAUGGAGGGGGAUAACUACUGGAAACGGUAGCUAAUACCGCAUAACGUCGCAAGACCAAAGAGGGGGACCUUCGGGCCUCUU